rfam:Ovis aries breed Texel chromosome 4, whole genome shotgun sequence.
UCCCUGAUAGCUCAAUUGGUAAAGACUCCGCCUGCAAGGCAGGAGACCCAGGUUUGAUUCCUGGGUGGGGAA